rnacentral:rRNA from 1 species
CCUACGGGGGGCUGCAGUGGGGAAUAUUGGACAAUGGGCGAAAGCCUGAUCCAGCCAUGCCGCGUGUGUGAAGAAGGCCUUCGGGUUGUAAAGCACUUUCAGUGGGGAAGAAAGCCUUGGGGCUAAUACCCUCGAGGAAGGACAUCACCCACAGAAGAAGCACCGGCUAACUCCGUGCCAGCAGCCGCGGUAAUACGGAGGGUGCGAGCGUUAAUCGGAAUUACUGGGCGUAAAGCGCGCGUAGGCGGUCUGAUAAGCCGGUUGUGAAAGCCCCGGGCUCAACCUGGGAACGGCAUCCGGAACUGUCAGGCUAGAGUGCAGGAGAGAAGGUAGAAUUCCCGGUGUAGCGGUGAAAUGCGUAGAGAUCGGGAGGAAUACCAGUGGCGAAGGCGGCCUUCUGGACUGACACUGACGCUGAGGUGCGAAAGCGUGGGUAGCAAACAGGAUUAGAUACCCUGGUAGUC